ACUCAUAGCAUCUUUGGAUUUGAGUCCAAGAUCACAUUCAUGCAAAUCUGCACCAAAAUUCAUAUAUAUUCACACUCUCCUUGUAUCUCAUUUUCAUCCCAUUUUCUUUUUAUUUCUCUUUACAUUUUUCAUCAUAUCACUUAUUUAUUUUUCUAUCUUUUCUCUCUAUUCUUCAACCCCAAAUGUACUUCAAAAACAGAGUAGACUUUUAUAAUUUUCCUUAAAAAAUAAUGUAUGAAUACUCAUAUAUAUCAAACACUCUAUUGAUACCUAUUAUUUUUUUUCCUAUCUCUCUCCUCUCUUUCUUUCUCUCCCUAAUGCAGUGUUUGGAAUGUAAUGAGUUUUGUUCUGUCACAUCUGGAGAGAAAACAAAGGAAAGCAUGUGCAAGUAUCAAAAGAUGAGAAAUAGUGAAGGGUCAACUUUUUUUUUUUUAAUCGACAAAUGUUAGUUGGUUAGUUUGGUUAGAAAUGUAAGUUGGCAGGAUUCGAACCGGCGACCUUUCUCCUCUCCCUUCAACCAUUGAACCAACCUUAUAUCUCCUAAUGAGUCAAUUUGUGAGCUCAGAUUAACAAGAUAUGUUGCGAAAUGAUGACAAUGUCAACUUGGGUAAGCUCCGGCCCCAGUGACAAAGUACUGAAACCACAGCACUGCCUAAUGUGGUGAGGGCGGCAGCGAUGGCGAUGGCACACUACUCAAAUUGUUAGAUGCUCAAAUCUUUGUUACCACAGAGAGGCCAAUGUGUUUCAAGUUUCAACAGAAUUGAAACACAUAUUGGUCUUUUUGUAGUGACGAAGAUUCAAGCAUCCAAUGCCAAUUUGGAUAUAAAGGUGGAGGGUCAGAUCAACGAGAAACUAUUAACUGGUCUUGGACCACCGUGUUCCGGCUAAUCAUGAUAUGGAAUUCAGAAGCCAGUAACAUGCCCUCAUUGUGCUAAUAUUCGGAGGCAGGCGGCGGCAUAGCAGAAAGUUUUGCAAUUGUACCUCUAUUACUUAAGUGCUUCUUUACAUGUUUGGCAGAGCAAAUCCUGUAAAGAAUGGGGCAUAUGCUGAAUUUUCUCAGUAGUAUUCCUUUGGAGACAAUCCUAUUCAAAGAAGGGUCCGACACUAAGUGUGUGCAACUCUCCCUGCUGGACGAAUUUGUCACAUUGCUAGGGACUAGUCCUUCUGCUAAACUCAACUCCCGUCGGUAGCUCGGGCCAUCUUUGCUCGGGUUUCCGGUGUUAGCCACUUUUAGUAUGUUUAUGGGUAUGUCUUGUUAAAACUUGGGAAAUCUAUAGUUAAGGAAUGUUCCAUAUUUUUAUUCCUGUAAAAGUUGCAUAUCAUAAUAUACAACAGUUUGCUGGCGGUUAAGUCCUUGUUAAGUUUAUACCUUAGGCUUUUGGAGAGUCAGUUCUUGGCAUAUGACGUUAGAGCCUCUUUGACAAAUUUGUUAUGGGAGUUUCUCCUUGCUGCACCAUUCUUGUAAGUUGAAUUUUGACAAUGUAAAAUGGACAUGUGCACUGUCCACGCAUUAAUCCUAACGUGUUCAUUCUUGUAUUUUUCGUAUUAGUGUUAUUUAUAUGAAUUAUUAUAACAAUUA